rnacentral:rRNA from 1 species
GACGAACCGUGCGAACGUUAUUCGGAAUCACUGGGCUUAAAGCGCGUGUAGGCGGGGCGGCACGUCGGUCGCUGAAAUCCCCCGGCUCAACCGGGGAACGGGCGCCGAUACGACCGCCCUCGAGGGACGUAGGGGGACCUGGAACUUCCGGUGGAGCGGUGAAGUGCGUUGAGAUCGGAAGGAACGCCCGUGGCGAAAGCGAGGUCCUGGACGUCUUCUGACGCUGAGACGCGAAAGCCAGGGGAGCGAACAGG